CCCAUGCCAAUUCAAUAACAAGGACAUGGUUUUGAGAAAAAGGAAAAAGAAGUUUUAUUGCUUUGCUAGCAAAGGAGAAACACAGGGGACUCCUGUUCUAGAGGCUGUGAUUCUGCUCAUCAGGGAAAACUGAGGACUUUUAAAGGAGCUAUUCAAAGGGUACUUUCCAGGUGUGCUCUGGUAGGGGGUCCUAGGGAGCCCUAAUGGCGUGUUAGAAUUCACUUGUUAAUUUGGGAGACAUUCUCUUCCCAGAUCCUCUGGCAGACAUCUGCUUCCUGUGGAGCACAGGUAACUCAAGGUUAAGAACAGCACCUGGCAGCGCUCUGCGCUUGUGGCAAAGCUCAAUGCUCCCUUGACUCCUCAGAUAGCCUUCACUGCCAGGGAAGACAAGCCAUCUCCUUACCCAAUCACUACUGCUUAAUAAAGUGGUUUUUCCCUCAUUAUCUCCACUAA